UCCCUAGUGUCUCAGACAGUAAAGAAUCCGGCUGCAAUGCAGGAGACCCAGGUUCGAUUCCUGGGUUGGGAA
rnacentral:tRNA from 1 species